AAAGCAAGUAAGAAGUUUGAGUGUGACCUUAUGGAGUCGAAAGCUAUUCUUCUCUGCCUCUUGUUGAUUGUGCAACUAGGAAACUCCAUUCAUGUUGAGCGAUGCAGGCAGGCUAUUGCUUUUACGGGCCCCACAUGCACAAAAAUAGAUUGCCUAUAUAUCUGCAAGAAGUUGUGGGGAGAUGACAUCCUUAAUGUGGUAUGUAGGAUCGUCGGCAUAUUCAGCCAAACUUGUUCGUCGGCAUAUUCAGCCAAACUUGUUACUGCAUCGUAUGUACCUAGAGUUGCACUAAACCAUCAUGUUGGUAAGAAGUCAAGGGGUGGACAAUGAUGUGAUCUGGUAAUAAAAUCAUUUAUGAAAUGCAUGUGAGGA